GGCAUUUCUGCUGCAUUAGCUUUAUCGCUAUAUUUAGAGUUGCAAUGCACUUUCUGGCUGAGGGAUAUCAUAUCUGAAUGGCUUCGUUAGAAAAUAUGAUGGCAAUCAUAUUUCAUACCAUGUGGUGGUGCUGCAGUCCAGUUCCUCGUUCUGUCAGAUGGAGAUGUACUCAGAUUUUUAAUAGCAGAACCAACAAGCACAGCAGGUCUGGACCUCACAGGGCACCCUUAUGAUUGAGAAUGAACUCAGACAGCAUGUGAUGAGCAAUUCUGUUUCGGACAUGGCACGGGGUGGGAACGGAAGGAUGAGGGAUGAGAAGACAGGAUGAUGAAGGGUAUUUUAGAGAAUGAGUUUACUGUAUGUGAUGUCACUCCUCACAGCGGGACUAUUCGUACAGCGGCGAAGUUUCAUUUCUGUCAUAAAUCUAUCUAUUCAAAAUAUACAGUCAAACGCAGCCUGCAGGCGUACAUCAACUUGUUUAUUGGUUUCUGUUGGGAUUGGGCACAGGUUU